rnacentral:rRNA from 1 species
CCUACGGGAGGCAGCAGUGGGGAAUAUUGCGCAAUGGGCGCAAGCCUGACGCAGCAACGCCGCGUGAAGGAAGAAGGCUUUCGGUUUGUAAACUUCUAUCGUCAGGGAAGAGUAGAAGACGGUCCCUGACGAAUAAGCCACGGCUCUCUACGUGCCAGCAGCCGCGGUAAUACGUAGGUGGCAAGCGUUGUCCGGAUUUACUGGGUGUAAAGGGCGUGUAGCCGGGUUGACAAGUCAGAUGUGAAAUCCUGCGGCUUAACCGCAGAACUGCAUUUGAAACUGUUGAUCUUGAGUACUGGAGAGGCAGACGGAAUUCCUAGUGUAGCGGUGAAAUGCGUAGAUAUUAGGAGGAACACCAGCGGCGAAGGCGGUCUGCUGGACAGCAACUGACGGUGAGGCGCGAAAGCGUGGGGAGCAAACAGGAUUAGAUACCCCAGUAGUC